GAUGAACGCUGGCGGCGUGCUUAACACAUGCGAGUCGGACGAUGAAGCCCAGCUUGCUGGGUGGAUUAGUGGCGAACGGGUGAGUAACACGUGAGUAACCUGCCCUUAACUCUGGGAUAAGCCUGGGAAACUGGGUCUAAUACCGGAUAGGAGCGUCCACCGCAUGGUGGGUGUUGGAAAGAUUUAUCGGUUUUGGAUGGACUCGCGGCCUAUCAGCUUGUUGGUGAGGUAAUGGCUCACCAAGGCGACGACGGGUAGCCGGCCUGAGAGGGUGACCGGCCACACUGGGACUGAGACACGGCCCAGACUCCUACGGGAGGCAGCAGUGGGGAAUAUUGCACAAUGGGCGCAAGCCUGAUGCAGCGACGCCGCGUGAGGGAUGACGGCCUUCGGGUUGUAAACCUCUUUCAGUAGGGAAGAAGCGAAAGUGACGGUACCUGCAGAAGAAGCACCGGCUAACUACGUG
rnacentral:rRNA from 1 species